UUCCUCGUAGUCUAGGCGGUUAGGAUACCAGAUUCUCAGUCUCUGAACACUCUGGCGACCCGGGUUCGAGUCCCGGCGGGGAAG
rnacentral:tRNA from 1 species